GACUACAUGAAGCCGGAAUCGCUAGUAAUCGCGGAUCAGAAUGCCGCGGUGAAUACGUUCCCGGGUCUUGUACACACCGCCCGUCACACCAUGGGAGUCGGAAAUGCCCGAAGCCGGUGACCCAACCCGAAAGGGAGGGAGCCGUCGAAGGCAGGUCGGAUGACUGGGGUGAAGUCGUAACAAGGUACC
rnacentral:rRNA from 1 species